rnacentral:rRNA from 1 species
UACGGAGGGGGCUAGCGUUGUUCGGAAUUACUGGGCGUAAAGCGCGCGUAGGCGGACCUGCAAGUCGGGGGUGAAAGCCCAGGCUCAACCCUGGGAUGCCGGUGGAAACUGUCGGGCUAGAGUCCGGAAGAGGCGAGUGGAAUUCCUGGUGUAGCGGUGAAAUGGCGCAGAUAUCAGGAGGAACACCAAUGGCGAAGGCAGCUCGCUGGGACGUGAACUGACGCUGAGACGCGAAAGCGUGGGGAGCAA